rnacentral:rRNA from 1 species
UACCAGCACCCCGAGUGGUCGGGACGAUUAUUGGGCCUAAAGCAUCCGUAGCCGGUUCUGCAAGUCCCCGUUAAAUCCAGCUGCUCAACAGAUGGGCCGCGGAGGAUACUACAGAGCUAGGAGGCAGGAGAGGCAAGCGGUACUCAGUGGGUAGGGGUAAAAUCCGUUGAUCCAUUGAAGACCACCAGUGGCGAAGGCGGCUUGCCAGAAUGCGCUCGACGGUGAGGGAUGAAAGCUGGGGGAGCAAACCGG